AUACGUAGGGUGCGAGCGUUGUCCGGAAUUACUGGGCGUAAAGAGCUCGUAGGUGGUUUGUCGCGUCGUCUGUGAAAUUCCGGGGCUUAACUCCGGGCGUGCAGGCGAUACGGGCAUAACUUGAGUACUGUAGGGGAGUCUGGAAUUCCUGGUGUAGCGGUGAAAUGCGCAGAUAUCAGGAGGAACACCGGUGGCGAAGGCGGGUCUCUGGGCAGUAACUGACGCUGAGGAGCGAAAGCAUGGGUAGCGAACAGGAUUAGAUACCCUGGUAGUCCAUGCCGUAAACGGUGGGCGCUAGGUGUAGGGGUCUUCCACGACUUCUGUGCCGUAGCUAACGCAUUAAGCGCCCCGCCUGGGGAGUACGGCCGCAAGGCUAAAACUUAAAGGAAUUGACGGGG
rnacentral:rRNA from 1 species